UUGGGUAAUAAUCAAGAGAGUAACGAACCUUGUGAAAACAGAGCUGGAACAGAGGAGGUAGGUGAAAUACUGCAGGUUGGUGAGGAAAGAACUUUGAAGGAUGAAGUAAAUUCUAAUGAUAUUGGUGAUCUCCAGGUGCUUUGUAGCUCCGUUGAUAAACACCAGGCUGAGGAUAAUGAUAUAAAGCUGCUGAGGAGGUCUUCUUCAAUGGAUUCUUUGAGAGCUACAACUAUGUGUAUUGGCCUGAAUGAUCAUAAGAACCUGGUUAAUCAGAUUGACAUUGAUGAGGAAAGAAAAUCAAAUAUGGUUUUGAAGCGAGAUGGUGGGUAUUCAAGCG
rnacentral:lncRNA from 1 species